GCCUUUAAAGGGCACAGACUACAUGCUGGGCUCUUCCUAAGGCUCCCAGGACAUAGGCUAAAGGCAUCUUCCUUUCUUGGACCUUCUUGGCUCAAAAGGAUAGACAGACUCUACACUGAGAGUCAUCUUGUAGUCUUGAACAUCUUCUGUUUCAACACAUCUCCUAUCAUGAAGCCCUGAGAGCCUCUGAAGUGACCGUAGAAAGCAGGGAAAGAGCUUCUCCUCCUGGCCCAGCAGGUUGACCAGCCCACUGUCAGUAACUGCUUUCCCGAAAAGAAUCGAAGCCCAAGAAGAAGUCGGCAGCUAAGCCAGAUCAGAGAGACUCAACAUUUCUGGAGCAGCUUUGAGAGCCUCUCGUAAUACAGGCACCUCGUUUCCUGCGAUAAAGCUGAGGCCCAGAGAGAGGAGUUGGUUUGCCUGUCAUCUUCCAGCCAUUGCAGGGAAUGACUUUUGAAAAAGAUAUGAAGAGCAUGGCGUGGAAAUGCUGAGUUACCCGGGACCUGGAACCUCACACCUGUGGGCUCAGCUACCGUGACGGAUGCACCUUAGGGAAGGCCCCGCCAUGCCUGUGCUUGGAGCCUGGAGGUGUCAGUGCUGGGGACUGACAUGUCAGCCAGAACCUGUGCCUUGCAGGGUAGGAACAACUUGCUCAGCCUGGACUGGGUCUCUUUAGAUCUUAUCAAGGCAAGACAUGGUGGUCCUGGUCCCCAGCCUUCCCCAAAGUGUCUCACACAGUUCCUCCAUGGAGGGCACCAGCCGGAAGCCCAGAGAACCUUCUGUGACUACAGAUGACUCUUACUUGGCCAGAAUCAUUUCCAAUCAUUUCAGCAGUUGCCAGUAUGGAAACAUUAGGCAUUUUCAACUUUAAUA